rnacentral:rRNA from 1 species
CGCGUAGGCGGUCUCUUAAGUCAGAUGUGAAAGCCCGGGGCUUAACCUCGGAAGUGCAUUUGAAACUAAGGGACUUGAGUAUGGGAGAGGGAAGUGGAAUUCCUGGUGUAGCGGUGAAAUGCGUAGAUAUCAGGAGGAACACCGGUGGCGAAGGCGACUUCCUGGACCAAUACUGACGCUGAGGCGCGAAGGCGUGGGGAGCAAACAGGAUUAGAUACCCGAGUAGUCC